UUAUUGACCUAUAUUGAUUUGUGAAAGUUGGCAUAUGAUUGUUCAAAAAUAUAACUUUUUAAAUACCAAGAGAGAUGUGAGUGACUCAGGUAACUUCUCAAGAGAUACUAAAGAAAUAAAUAUUUUGUUUACUUCUUUGAACAUAGCAAGUCAUGAAUCUCAGCUUGAAAAAUCAGUGCUUUGGAGUACAGUGUGGGACAGAGGAAACUGCUUAGCAACAAUGUUUAAAAAGCCUCUGAAACUGGGUGGCUUUUGUUUCUUCCUUGGAAUACCUUGUAAGUGAACAGCCAGGAACGAAAAAUCCCAGUAUUAAAAAUAAUAACGUUUGUGAUUUUAAGAAAAGGUAGCAGAGGCAGAACAUGUUGUUUCUGAACCAAAUUGGCAGGGACACAUACAGAAAAGCCUUUUAGUAUGUUACUAACUUUUGAACUUCACCCUUCCUUUGAGGAGUCUCCCUUACCAGGCCCUUCGGCUGGAGAUGACGGGAUAGCAAGAGAUGGCAGUAGGGCAGCAAGGGCAGAACCUACAAGUGGAACUGUAAGGUGCUUUGAAAUAACGAUGAGCAGUUUUGCGGAGGGCCUUAGCUUUGACUGAGGAGAGAAAAAGGGG
rnacentral:lncRNA from 1 species